CCUACGGGUGGCAGCAGUGAGGAAUAUUGCUCAAUGGACGAGAGUCUGAACCAGCCAAGUAGCGUGAAGGAUGACUGCCCUAUGGGUUGUAAACUCUUUUUAUAUGGGAAUAAAAUGUUCCACGUGUGGGAUUUUGUAUGUACCAUAUGAAUAAGGAUCGGCUAACUCCGUGCCAGCAGCCGCGGUAAUACGGAGGAUCCGAGCGUUAUCCGGAUUUAUUGGGUUUAAAGGGAGCGUAGAUGGGUUGUUAAGUCAGUUGUGAAAGUUUGCGGCUCAACCGUAAAAUUGCAAUUGAUACUGGCAGCCUGGAGUACAGUUGAGGUAGGCGGAAUUCGUGGUGUAGCGGUGAAAUGCGUAGAUAUCACGAAGAACUCCGAUGGCGAAGGCAGCCUACUAAACUGCCACUGACAUUGAUGCUCGAAAGUGUGGGUAGCAAACAGGAUUAGAUACCCUGGUAGUC
rnacentral:rRNA from 1 species